rnacentral:tRNA from 1 species
UCCUGUAUGGUCUAGUGGUAAGGAUUCUGGGUUUUUGCCCAGGUGGCCUGGGUUAGACUCCCAGUAAGUGAA